rnacentral:lncRNA from 1 species
GCAGCCGCUCCCGUCGUCGUCCCUCCUAUCGCCGGCGCCUCAAAUUCGAUCCGCCUGCUGUCUUCGUCGUCGAUCUGAAAUGCCUUCUCGUUCAUGGAUCCGCUAGUUUCGUUUUGUUUUUCUCUCUCUCUCUCUCUCUCUCUCUCUCGCUGCUGUUUAGAAACUCCUCGGUGAUGGAUGUUUUCUUUGGUGUCGUUGUUUUUUUUCUGGGAGCACUGUCCCAAUGGCCGGCCGCCGUUCGCCGUCGGCGGACACCGGUCUCCUUUAUCUAAGCUCCCGAGACGCAAUCCGGUGGCGCUUUAGAGCCCUCGUCCGUUCGAUACGCAGUCGGAUGCUGGGUUACGCUCGCCUCCAAAUCCCACCUCAUUUGCUCGUCAGAUCUGGAUUUUUGCUGUUUUUAUUCUUCUCCAGUUCAGUGAUUUGUGUCGCAGGAAGUUUUGAGAAAUUCUGCCGCUUUGGUUGAUUUCGCUUUCUGUAAUUAUUAUUAAGAUAGAUAUGGAGAUAGAAUUGUUGGGUGCAGUGAUUAUAAAAACAUUCCUCGUCCUGAUGGGAGGUCCCCCGUGAUCGACUCCUAUACACCCAUAGAAUCUGAGCACCCCACAUCAUCUCCAGUCUUGUGUAUUUUAUUUUGUUUGUUUCAUUUGGUUUGUUUUUAUAUUUAAAAAAAUUGGAUUUCCAUCCAGCGUUGUAUUCGUAUAUUUUAAUUGGUGUUGACUGAUUUUGAAUUUUAUGUCCUGCGAUUGAUGAGACGUUGCACAGAGAACAUUGAACGAAUCGAUAUUUAAUGAUCUAAGGCCUUGGUUAGUUCCCAAAAAUUUUUAAGAUUCCCCGUCACAUCGAAUCUUUGGUCGCAUGCAUGGAGCAUUAAAUAUAGAUGAAAAUAAAAACUAAUUGCACAGUUUACCUGUAAUUUGUGAGAUAAAUCUUUUGAGCCUAGUUACUCUGUGAUUGGACAAUGUUUGUCAAAUAAAAACGAAAGUGCUACAGUGACCAAAAACGAAAAUUUUUGCCAACUAAACAAGGCCUAAAGUAAGUAAUACUAAAAUGUAUAAACAAUUUUUUUAAGAAAACAAAUCCUAUACAUAACUUUAAAAUACGAGCACUAGGAUCCAAAAAUGUUUAUUUUAACAUUUAAAUUAUAUUCUUGAAAAUUUA